rnacentral:rRNA from 1 species
UACAGAGGGUGCAAGCGUUAAUCGGAAUUACUGGGCGUAAAGCGCGCGUAGGUGGUUUGUUAAGUUGAAUGUGAAAUCCCCGGGCUCAACCUGGGAACUGCAUGCAAAACUGGCAAGCUAGAGUAUGGUAGAGGGUGGUGGAAUUUCCUGUGUAGCGGUGAAAUGCGUAGAUAUAGGAAGGAACACCAGUGGCGAAGGCGGCCAUCUGGACCGCAACUGACGCUGAGGCGCGAAAGCGUGGGGAGCAAACAGG